rnacentral:rRNA from 1 species
UACAGAGGGGGCAAGCGUUGUUCGGAAUUACUGGGCGUAAAGGGCGCGUAGGUGGCCUUCUAAGUUGAACGUGAAAUCCCUGGGCUCAACCCAGGAACUGCGUCCAAGACUGGGAGGCUUGAAUCCGGGAGAGGGAUGCGGAAUUCCAGGUGUAGCGGUGAAAUGCGUAGAUAUCUGGAGGAACACCGGUGGCGAAGGCGGCAUCCUGGACCGGUAUUGACACUGAGGUGCGAAAGCCAGGGGAGCAAACGGG